CCCUUAGAUAUCCUGGGCCGCACGCGCGCUACACUGACGAAUGCAACGAGCUUAUAACCUUGGCCGAAAGGUCUGGGUAAUCUCCAAAUUUCGUCGUGAUGGGGAUAGAUUAUUGCAAUUAUUAAUCUUCAACGAGGAAUGCCUAGUAAGCGCAAGUCAUCAGCUUGCGUUGAUUACGUCCCUGCCCUUUGUACACACCGCCCGUCGCUCCUACCGAUUGAAUGGUCCGGUGAAGCGUUCGGACCGUGGCCUUUGGACGGUUCGCCGUCUGUUGGCUGCGGGAAGUUCGUUAAACCUUNUNAUUUAGNGGAAGGAGAANUCGUANCA
rnacentral:rRNA from 1 species